rnacentral:rRNA from 1 species
AUUGAACGCUGGCGGAAUGCUUUACACAUGCAAGUCGAACGGCAGCACGGGAGCUUGCUCCUGGUGGCGAGUGGCGAACGGGUGAGUAAUGCAUCGGAACGUACCUAUUAGUGGGGGAUAACUAUCAGGAAGGAUAGCUAAUACCGCAUACGUCCUGAGGGAGCAAGCGGGGGAUCGCAAGACCUCGCGCUAAUAGAGCGGCCGAUGUUGGAUUACCUAGUUGGUGGGGUAAAGGCCGACCAAGGCGAGGAUCCAUAGCUGGUCUGAGAGGAUGAUCAGCCAAACUAGGACGGAGGCACGGCCGAGACUCCUACGGGAGGCAGCAGUGGGGAAUUUUGGACAAUGGGGGAAACCCUGAUCCAGCCAUUCCGCGUGAGUGACGAAGGCCUUCGGGUUGUAAAGCUCUUUCGGCAGAAACGAAACGGUGGUUACUAAUACUAGCUACUAAUGACGGUACCUGAAGAAGAAGCACCGGCUAACUACGUGCCAGCCGCCGCGGUAA